GACGAACGCUGGCGGUGUGCUUAAUACAUGCAAGUCGAACGAUAAGGUCCCUUCGGGGAUACAUAAGUGGCGGACGGGUGAGUAACACGUAGGUAAUCUACCACAAGGAGGGGGACAACAUCGGGAAACUGGUGCUAAUACCCCAUAUGUGGCAAGCUGAAAUGCUUGUUAUGAAAGUUUUUGCGCCUUGAGAUGAGCCUGCGUCUGAUUAGCUAGUUGGUGGGGUAAAAGCCUACCAAGGCGAUGAUCAGUAGCUGGUUUGAGAGGAUGAUCAGCCACAAUGGGACUGAGACACGGCCCAUACUCCUACGGGUGGCAG
rnacentral:rRNA from 1 species